rnacentral:rRNA from 1 species
AUGAACGCUGGCGGCGUGCCUCAUACAUGCAAGUCGAGCGAACAGAUGAGGAGCUUGCUCCUCUGACGUUAGCGGCGGACGGGUGAGUAACACGUGGAUAACCUACCUAUAAGACUGGGAUAACUUCGGGAAACCGGAGCUAAUACCGGAUAAUAUAUUGAACCGCAUGGUUCAAUAGUGAAAGACGGUUUUGCUGUCACUUAUAGAUGGAUCCGCGCCGCAUUAGCUAGUUGGUAAGGUAACGGCUUACCAAGGCAACGAUGCGUAGCCGACCUGAGAGGGUGAUCGGCCACACUGGAACUGAGACACGGUCCAGACUCCUACGGGAGGCAGCAGUAGGGAAUCUUCCGCAAUGGGCGAAAGCCUGACGGAGCAACGCCGCGUGAGUGAUGAAGGUCUUCGGAUCGUAAAACUCUGUUAUUGGGGAAGAACAAAUGUGUAAGUAACUAUGCACGUCUUGACGGUACCUAAUCAGAAAGCCACGGCUAACUACGUG